rnacentral:rRNA from 1 species
GACGAACGCUGGCGGCGUGCCUAAUACAUGCAAGUCGAGCGAAUCUUUUGGGAGCUUGCUCCCUUAAGAUUAGCGGCGGACGGGUGAGUAACACGUGGGUAACCUGCCUGUAAGACUGGGAUAACUUCGGGAAACCGGAGCUAAUACCGGAUACUUUCUUUUCUCGCAUGGGGGAAGAUGGAAAGAUGGUUCUGCUAUCACUUACAGAUGGACCCGCGGCGCAUUAGCUAGUUGGUGAGGUAACGGCUCACCAAGGCAACGAUGCGUAGCCGACCUGAGAGGGUGAUCGGCCACACUGGGACUGAGACACGGCCCAGACUCCUACGGGAGGCAGCAGUAGGGAAUCUUCCGCAAUGGACGAAAGUCUGACGGAGCAACGCCGCGUGAGCGAAGAAGGCCUUCGGGUCGUAAGGCUCUGUUGUUAGGGAAGAACAAGGACGAGAGUAACUGCUCGUACCUUGACGGUACCUAACCAGAAAGCCACGGCUAACUACGUGCCAGCCGCCGCAGUAAGAC